rnacentral:rRNA from 1 species
GAUGAACGCUGGCGGCGUGCCUAAUACAUGCAAGUCGAGCGAACGGACGAGCAGCUUGCUUCGCUGAUGUUAGCGGCGGACGGGGGAGUAACACGUGGAUAACCUACCUAUAAGACUGGGAUAACUUCGGGAAACCGGAGCUAAGACCGGAUAAUAUAUUGAACCGCAUGGUUCAAUAGUGGAAGACGGUUUUGCUGUCACUGAUAGAUGGAUCCGCGCCGCAUUAGCUAGUUGGUAAGGGAACGGCUUACCAAGGCGACGAUGCGUAGCCGACCUGAGCGGGUGAUCGGCCACACUGGCACUGAGACACGGUCCCGACUCAUACGGCAGCGAGCAGUAGGGAAUCUUCCGCAAUGGGCGAAAGCCUGACGGAGCAACGCCGCGUGAGUGAUGAAGGUCUUCGGAUCGUAGAACUCUGUUAUUAGGGAAGAAGAAAUGUGUAAGUAACUAUGCACGUCUUGACGGUACCUAAUCAGAAAGCCACGGCUAACUACGUG